UACGUAUGGAGCAAGCGUUAUCCGGAAUUACUGGGUGUAAAGGGAGCGCAGGCGGUUUAGCAAGUCUGAUGUGAAAACCCGGGGCUCAACCCCGGACCUGCAUUGGAAACUGUUAAACUAGAGUGCCGGAGAGGUAAGUGGAAUUCCUAGUGUAGCGGUGAAAUGCGUAGAUAUUAGGAGGAACACCAGUGGCGAAGGCGGCUUACUGGACGGUAACUGACGCUGAGGCUCGAAAGCGUGGGGAGCAA
rnacentral:rRNA from 1 species